GACGAACGCUGGCGGCGUGCUUAACACAUGCAAGUCGAACGGGUCUGCCCUGUUUUUUGCGGGGUGGGUCAGUGGCGAACGGGUGAGUAACACGUGAGUAACCUGCCCCUCACUUCUGGAUAACCGCUUGAAAGGGUGGCUAAUACGGGGUGUUCUGGCUGUGCCGCAUGGUGUGGCUUGGAAAGAUUCACUUUUGUGGUGUUUUGGUGGGGGUUGGGCUCGCGGCCUAUCAGCUUGUUGGUGGGGUGAUGGCCUGCCAAUGCUUUGACGGGUCGCCGGCGUGAGAGGGUGCGCGGACCGAAGAGGAGUGAGAGUAGGCCCAGACUCCUGCGGGAGGCAGCAGAGGGGGUACUGAACAAGGGGAGGAAUCCUGAUGCCGCGACGAGGCGUGAGGGAUGGCGGCCUUUGGGUUGUGAACCUCUUUCGCCGGUGAAGAAGGUCCUGCUUUUUGCGGUGGGGUUGAAGGUAGCCGGGUGAUGAAGCACCGGCUAACUACGUG
rnacentral:rRNA from 1 species